CUUGGACCUUUAAUCGUACCUUCCGGCGAUGUCCACAGAAGUACUGGUAGCUGCAACGAAUGGAAAUGGUCCCAGGUUAUCGAAAGUCGGAUUCGAUAUCCCGCGUUAUCGGUCUUCUUCAAUAGAAAACAUGGGGGACCGCCAUUCGUUCUACCAAAAGUACCUAAACCCAACGGCAGCGGACGGAAGAAGAAAUGAUUAUUCUCAAGGAAACAGUUGGCCACUGUUUCACGUUUAACAGUUGAUGGGACUGAAAAUGAAAGAGCGAGAAUUUCCUGCAUACCGAAGAAGUUUCCUGGAUUCGGCUACUCGGCUCAAGUUGAUUUCAACCUCCACAAAGCGGAGGCAGAAGAUUCUCAAACAUAAUGGAGUUUAUCGUCUACAUCCAAAGAAUCAAGCGUGAGAAGGCUACAACGGACCGAAAAUCU